UAUUGAAUAUACUGGCAAGUACCAGAAGGUGGAUAUACUGGCAGGUACCAGAAGGUGGGUGUAUGGCUUGAUAUUGAAUAUACUGGCAGGUACCAGAAGGUGGGUGUAUGGCUUCAUAUUGAAUAUACUGGCAGGUACCUGAUGGUGGGUGUAUGGCUUCAUAUUAAAUAUACUGGCAGGUACCAGAAGGUGGGUGUAUGGCUUGAUAUUGAAUAUACUGGCAGGUACCAGAAGGUGGGUGUAUGGCUUGAUAUUGAAUAUACUGGCAGGUACCAGAAGGUGGGCGUAUGGCUUGAUAUUGAAUAUACUGGCAGUUACCAGAAGGUGGAUGUAUGGCUUGAUAUUGAAUAUACUGGCAGGUACCAGAAGGUGGGUGUAUGGCUUGAUAUUGAAUAUACUGGCAGGUACCAGAAGGUGGGUGUUUGGCUUGAUAUUGAAUAUACUGGCAGGCAGGUACCAGAAGGUGGGUGUUUGGCUUGAUAUUGAAUAUACUGGCAGGCAGUUACCAGAAGGUGUGUGUAUGGCUUGAAAUUGAAUAUACUGGCAGGUACCAGAAGGUGGGUGUAUGGCUUGAUAUUGAAUAUACUGGCAGGUGCCAGAAGGUGGGUGUUAGGCUUAAUAUUGAAUAUACUGGCAGGUACCAGAAGGUGGGUGUAUGGCUUGAUAUUGAAUAUACUGGCAGGUACCAGAAGGUGGGUGUAUGGCUUGAUAUUGAAUAUACUGGCAGGUACCAGAAGGUGGGUGUAUGGCUUGAUAUUGAAUAUACUGGCAGGUACCAGAAGGUGGGUGUAUGGCUUGAUAUUGAAUAUACUGGCAGGUGCCAGAAGGUGGGUGUAUGGCUUGAUAUUGAAUAUACUGGCAGGUGCCAGAAGGUGGGUGUUAGGCUUGAUAUUGAAUAUACUGGCAGGCAGGUGCCAGAAGGUGGGUGUAUGGCUUGAUAUUGAAUAUACUGGCAGUGCCAGAAGUUGGAUGUAUGGCUUGAUAUUGAAUAUACUGGCAGGUGCCAGAAGGUGGGUGUAUGGCUUGAUAUUGAAUAUACUGGCAGGCAGGUGCCAGAAGGUGGGUGUUAGGCUUGAUAUUGAAUAUACUGGCAGGUACCAGAAGGUGGGUGUAUGGCUUGAUAUUGAAUAUACUGGCAGGUACCAGAAGGUGGGUGUAUGGCUUGAUAUUGAAUAUACUGGCAGGUGCCAGAAGGUGGAUGUAUGGCUUGAUAUUGAAUAUACUGGCAGGUGCCAGAGGGUGGGUGUAUGGCUUGUUAUUGAAUAUACUGGCAGUAUUCAGCAAAGUUACACGCUUGCAAGGAUUGGGUUUAAUAAAAAUAAAAGUAAUAAUUGUAAUAAUAACAAUUUCAAUGGCGGACAGACUCGCUAGUUGAAAAUAGCGUGCGUUCUGCGCAUGCACAAUCUCUAAAUCUUUGUGUCCAUUGCAGUUGUGAUGUGUCUAGGACUCGGGACACUGAGGUAAAACAAUCACUGGGCUUGAAACUAAAUACACUUGCAGUAUUCAGAAAAGUUAUAUGUCUGCAAAGAGGGUCCUUUUUGAGUCAUUAUCUUGUUGGUUUCCGUGUCCACAUAAAAUGUUUUAUCAGUUUGUGGAGAGAGCUACAAUCCACAUUCCAGAUAUUUUUUCAUUGACCAUAGCUGGCCAAGUCAUUCCGGUGUAUUGGUCACAUUUGGGUCAAAGCUCUGUGAGUUUUUGUCAUAAUGUAUAUCAUUUAAAUAUAUGUGGUACCCAGCCAUAUAAACGACUUACAUGUUACUAAGUGGAAAUAUAAUCAUUCCAUUCGAUCAGCACAAUUGCAAGUACAGGUUAAAUAAUGAUAUGAGCCAUGCUCUUAGAAAAGGGGGUUUAAUGCAUGUGCGUAAAGUGACGUCCCAGAUUAGCCUCAGCAGUCUGCACAGGCUAAUCAGGGACAAAACUUUUCGCUGUUAUGAUAUUUUCUAUUUAAAGAAAGUCUCUUCUUAGCAAAAAUCCAGUAUAGGCGGAAAGUGUUAUCCCUGAUGAGCCUGUGC